rnacentral:rRNA from 1 species
UACGUAGGUGGCAAGCGUUGUCCGGAUUUACUGGGCGUAAAGAGCGCGCAGGCGGUCGAUCAAGUCGCGUGUGAAAGCCCCCGGCUCAACUGGGGAGGGUCACGCGAUACUGAUCGACUCGAAGGCAGGAGAGGGAAGCGGAAUUCCCGGUGUAGUGGUGAAAUGCGUAGAUAUCGGGAGGAACACCAGUGGCGAAGGCGGCUUUCUGGUCUGCUCUUGACGCUGAGGCGCGAAAGCUAGGGUAGCAAACGGG